GAUGAACGCUGGCGGCGUGCCUAAUACAUGCAAGUCGAGCGACCAGACGAGGAGCUUGCUCCCCUGACGUUAGCGGCGGACGGGCGAGUAACAAGUGGAUCACCUUCUUAUUUGACUGGGGUAAUUUCGGGGGACCAGAGCCACUACCGGAUAAUAUAUUGUACCGCUUGGUUCAAUAGUGCAUGACGGUUUUGCUGUCUCAUAUAGCUGGAUUCGCGCCGCCUUAGCUAGUUGGUAAGGUAACGGCUCACCAAGGCAACGAUGCGUAGCCGACCUGAGAGGAUGAUCGGCCACACUGGAACUGAGACACGGUCCAGACUCCUACGGGAGGCAGCAGUAGGGAAUCUUCCACAAUGGGCGAAAGCCUGAUCCAGCCAUGCCGCGUGAGUGAAGAAGGUCUUCGGGUCGUAAAGCUCUUUUGUUGGGAAAGAAAAAAAGCAUGAGUAACUAUCCACGUCUUGACGGUACCUAAACAAAAAGCCACGGCUAACCUCGUG
rnacentral:rRNA from 1 species